rnacentral:snoRNA from 1 species
AAGGCACUUCAUUCUGAUCAAGGGAACAAUCAGCCAAGAAGACAUUACAUGGAAGAGUGCUACAUAGAUGGCAGGAUUCUCACUAACAGCAGUAAAGCAUGCCUCUAAUGACUGGAGUUUGGUAGUGAUUGUUGCCACAUAC